GUUUGUAUGAGCUUAUAAAUAUAAAGGCUUUGUGACUUGGACCUGGACCAAUCUGGAUCGUAUACCUACUUAAGACCUACGCAUUCCCGAAGCACUGUGACGUUUUGUGAUUUGGCUUUGUUACAUGGACCGCUUGGAAAUAUCAAUAUCGAAAGUGACAUGAUGGAGAGAGAGAGUUCUAUCUUCUAUAGAAAACAUUGAAAGGGUAGGAACUGCAGCCGAUAUGAAUCCACGAAUGCCUAAAGUGUUGUAUAUGUUCGGAACUAAUAAAACCAAAAUCCUUCCAUCCUGUACGGUUAGAAUGAAUUCAAAAGAAGGAACCGUAUUUUGAAACACACGGUAUUAAAUGUGAUCUGACGCUGAUCAUUACAAACUUGCAACCUUAUAACAACAGAGGAUCGCCAAACCUACCGCAAUUGCAAAUACUUAUUGCAUUAAGGCAUAAAAAUGCAACUGGAUGUUUUCAGAUGGUGUGUGGUGAUCUGAACAGCAUAAGCCAAUCUACAGUCUGUUUAAUUAUAAAUAAAGUCUCUGCAGAGUUGAGUAAAUUA